GGGGAAUUUUGGACAAUGGGGGCAACCCUGAUCCAGCAAUGCCGCGUGUGUGAAGAAGGCCUUCGGGUUGUAAAGCACUUUUGUCCGGGAAGAAAUCGCACCUGAUAAUACCGGGUGUGGAUGACGGUACCGGAAGAAUAAGGACCGGCUAACUACGUGCCAGCAGCCGCGGUAAUACGUAGGGUCCAAGCGUUAAUCGGAAUUACUGGGCGUAAAGCGUGCGCAGGCGGUUGUGCAAGACCGAUGUGAAAUCCCCGGGCUUAACCUGGGAAUUGCAUUGGUGACUGCACGGCUAGAGUGUGUCAGAGGGGGGUAGAAUUCCACGUGUAGCAGUGAAAUGCGUAGAGAUGUGGAGGAAUACCGAUGGCGAAGGCAGCCCCCUGGGAUAACACUGACGCUCAUGCACGAAAGCGUGGGGAGCAAACA
rnacentral:rRNA from 1 species